CAAGGUCACUAGAAGGUCGAGACAAGGUGACAGGGUCGAAGAAAAAUUGGUGCAAGUGAUUUUGACCUCGCGGUUAAUUUUCAAGGUCACUAGAAGGUCGACACAAGGUGACAGGGUCGAAGAAAAAUUGGUGCAAGUGAGUUUGACCUCGCGGAUAAUUUUCAAGGUCACUAGAAGGUCGAGACAAGGUGACAGGGUCGAAGAAAAAUUGGUGCAAGUGAUUUUGACCUCGCGGUUAAUUUUCAAGGUCACUAGAAGGUCGACA